rnacentral:tRNA from 1 species
GGCCAGUUAGCUCAGUUGGUUAGAGAGUGGUGCUGCUAACACGAAGGUCGCGGGUUUGAUCCCCGUUUGGUCC